UUGAUUACGUCCCUGCCCUUUGUACACACCGCCUGUCGCUACUACCGAUUGAAUGGCUUAGUGAGCCCUUGGGAUUGGCGCCCGGAAGCUGGCAACAGCAUCUGGAUGCCGAAAACUUGUGCAAACUUGGUCAUUUAGAGGAAGUAAAAGUCAUAACAAGGUUUCUGUAGGUGA
rnacentral:rRNA from 1 species